CCCGCCUGGCCUACGGCCGUCCCCUGCGCACCCGCACGGCCGCCCCGGCCCGGGGCCGGGCUAGGAGGGGUUCGAGGUGGGGCGCGCCGUCUCCCGACAGGUGCGGUUAGGAGUCCUUUGGAGACGCCGAUUUCGGACUGGGGCACGGACUGAGCGCCUGCAUAGCCUGACUUGGGGGCGGCCUUGGGUGUCGGAAGCCGCCCGCCCUUCACCCCACCUGUGUGACCCUCUCACCUCAGCAUCUCCAGCAGUCCCCUUGUGGUUGCUGGGUCCUAAUUGACUCUCGCCCUUGGGUCACCAGCAGCCACUUGCAGUUUGGGAAGCUGGGGGAGGGUCUUGAGACAGGGGGGUAUCCGCGGGGAAGUGGAGGCAGAGGAAUUGACCGCACACCUUCAGCUGCCGAGAAGAGGGUCCGCUGAGGACGAGAGUCUGCAGAAAGAUGUUCUAAAAGAAUGGAAAGUGUUCAGACAUACUGCAAAUGCCACGGGACUUCUUGGGAUAACCUCAGAUGAGAUGUCAGCAUCUGUGGAGCCGUUUUCACUGACGUUCCUUCUGGAAUGCGGCAGAAGGGAGAUAGAGUGUCACUGUACCACUCUCGGUAGAGUGCUGUGGCGUCACAAGGCUCACAGCAACCUCCAGCUCUUGGACUUCCACGAUUCUCCUGCCUUAGCCUCCCUGCUUCAGCCUCCUGAGCAGCUGGGACUACAGGCACCCGCCACAACGCCCAGCUAUUUUUUUGUUGCAGUUUGCCCGGGGCUGGGUUUGAACCUGCCAUCCUCGGUAUAUGGGGCCGGCACCCUAUUCACUGAGCCACAGGCACCACCCUAAAAUUCCUAAUUUUCAUAUGAAGAGAUCAGCAAUCAGGAAAAUAGGCCACAUUAUUAUGAUUUUGUAAGUUACUGAGAAGUUAAAAAGCCUAUGGAACAUUUCAUGAUAUUUAGGGAAAAUGGUUCUAUAUGAAGUUAUUUAAAUAAAACAAAGUUAAGUAAAAGAAAACCAGAAAGAAUGCAGCCCUGAGCCAGGAAUCUCAUGUUUGAAUAUCAUUUCUGUAACCAACCAGAUCACUCCAACCCUUUGAUUCUUACAGAAUGAACACAGAUAUAAUAAUUAUACAAAUCUAUAGCGCUGGGCAUGGAGACUCAACCUGUAAUCCUAACACUCUGGGAAGCUGAGUUUGCUUGGUUUGCUUGAGCUCAGGAGUUUGAGAUCAUCCUGAGCAAGAGCGAAACCCCAUCUAUAAAAAAAAUAGCUGGGUGUUGUGGUGGGUUCCAGUAGUCCCAGCUACUGAGGAGGCUGAGGCAAGAGAA